rnacentral:rRNA from 1 species
AUGGCAGGAGAACUUAACCUGGCAAGAGUUCAUAUUGAGAUAGACUGCCUAGACGUGGUACGGAAGCUGCAGAGUUCAAACGACGAUCUCUCCACAUUGGGGCCAAUGAUUAAGGAGGUUAAAAAUCUUCUUGCAACACGGGAGUGGAAGGUGACAUGGGUUCGGAGGACGGCCAAUGGUGUUGCGCAUCGGCUAGCAAAGGAAGGACUAGAGAAUAAUAGUAGUAAGAUCUGGGUGCUUGAUCCCCCAGAAUGUAUUUUGCAGUUUCUUUCGGCACAAAUCCCUGCCUUUCAUGACUAA